rnacentral:lncRNA from 1 species
GAGAGAGAGAGAGAGAGAGAUGAAUUUCGAGGUCCAGUUUGAGGUUUAAAAUUUGCUCCUUGGGCAAGCAGAGGGACAAAUCUAAUUAUAGCCAAAGCAAUAACCUGCCGCUAAUGUCAGCAACUAGGCUGAUGAUGAUUAGGCAUAGUUCACCAUUUAGAACUGUAUAUAUGUCAUAUGAGCAUAAUAAAAGCAAAUCUGUCCUCACGGUUAUCGCCAACAUCUAAAUGAUGGGUUUAUCAUGAAGUAUUUUGUUAUAUCCUGACUUUAAUAGAGCUAUGACGUGCAACUAUUGGACUUCUAUUCACACACUUAUUCCAUCUUUGGAAUUCAAAACAAUGAAGCCCAACUCAAAUAGAAUCUGAUACAAUAAGUAAACCCAUAGCAUCGACAAGCCGGUGAUGAUGAGGAAUUAUUGAUCCCAAGAAUGGAUGGGCAUGAGGAACAUAAAUGGACAAUAAAGAAGUAUCAGGAAGUUGGGAUCAGACUGACGUGCAAAAAAUGUACUCAGCAACGCUGCUGCCUUAGAUAAUUACAUUGUGGUGGCAUCAUAUCCCAGACUUUGAACUGGUACAAAACAAGAAAGCCAGAAAAAUCCAGAGGGAAGAUAAUGUGGGUGAUCAAAAUAAUAUUUCAGAAUAACGGAAACAACUUAAGAUCAGGUAGAUCAAAAAGUUCACAAGCAUAUCCCAAGAACAGGGAGAAAGAAGAAAAAUGGAUGGGCAUGGGGAGAAUAAAUGGUAAACAAAGAAGCACCAGGAAGUUGCGAUCAGACUGACGUGCAAAAAAUGUACUCAGCAAUGCUGCUGCCUUAGAUAAUUACAUUAUGGUGGCAUCAUAUCCCAAAGUUUGAACUGGCACAAAAUAAGAAAACCACAAAAACCAGAGGGAAGAUAAUGCGGGUGCUCGAAAAAAUAUUUCGGAAUAAAAGAAACAACUUAAGAUCAGGUAGAUCAAAAAAGUUCACAAGCAUAUCCCAAGAAUGGGGAGAAAGAAGAAAAUGAAUGGGCAUGAGGACCGUAAAUAGAAAACUAAAAAGUACCAGGAAGUUGGGAUCAGACUGACGUGCAAAAAAUGUACUCAGCAACGCUGCUGCCUUAGAUAAUUACAUUGUGGUGGCAUCAUAUCCCAGACUUUGAACUGGUACAAAACAAGAAAGCCAGAAAAAUCCAGAGGGAAGAUAAUGUGGGUGCUCAAAAAGAUAUUUUGGAAUAACGGAAACAACUUAAGAUCAGGUAGAUCAAAAGAAGUCACAAGCAUAUCCCAAGAACAGGGAGAAAGAAGAAAAAUGGAUAGGCAUGAGGAGACUAAAUGGUAAACAAAGAAGCACCAGGAAGUUGUGAUCAGACUGACGUGCAAAAAAUGUACUCAGCAAUGCUGCUGCCUUAGAUAAUUACAUUAUGGUGGCAUCAUAUCCCAAAGUUUGAACUGGCACAAAAUAAGAAAACCACAAAAACCAGAGGGAAGAUAAUGCGGGUGCUCGAAAAAAUAUUUCGGAACAAAAGA